AGGUCAUUUCAAAGAGAGCUUAUGGGACCAAAGCAGGAGCUCUUAACGCUGUGACCUAAGAUUGAAGUUAUCCACAGGAUGUACCAGACACUCAAUGGUGCUGUUUUCCUGAGGAGAUAUAAAA